rnacentral:lncRNA from 1 species
CUGAGAGCAGUUAUUUUUCCAUCCUUCACUCUAACAAGUGACUCCUCCAGGGUGGAAAGAUGGGAGCAAAAGGCUCAGAGGGCUCAUUCUCCCCUUCCUUUUCUGGGCACAGCCUGACUUUGGAGAUGUAGAAGGGAGGACCCUGUUCCACAGGGACCAGCCAGGAGGAACCUGAUGCUUUUCACUGCUGAGUGGCCCCAGUAUCAAAAAAUAGCCAAGUGUGUGCAUGUUUGAAAAGAUGGUGUCUUACUAACCGUAGCUCCUCAUUUAGAAAACAAGUCACUGAGCCUGGCCUACUCUUGUCUCGAUUCUAAGUUUCCAUGGAGACCGAUGUAGCCUUGGAAGCCUUGACGCCUCCCCGUCGCAUCACACAAAUGCUCUUUGGGCAGCGAAGGAGUGGUGACCCGGUGGCUGAGGUCAAUAGUCAGAUUCAAACAGUCAAAUAAGUUUUCAUCAACAUCAG